rnacentral:rRNA from 1 species
CGGCGAGUGAAGCGGUAAAAGCUCAAAUUUGAAAUCUGGUACUUUCAGUGCCCGAGUUGUAAUUUGUAGAAUUUGUCUUUGAUUAGGUCCUUGUCUAUGUUCCUUGGAACAGGACGUCAUAGAGGGUGAGAAUCCCGUUUGGCGAGGAUACCUUUUCUCUGUAAGACUUUUUCGAAGAGUCGAGUUGUUUGGGAAUGCAGCUCAAAGUGGGUGGUAAAUUCCAUCUAAAGCUAAAUAUUGGCGAGAGACCGAUAGCGAACAAGUACAGUGAUGGAAAGAUGAAAAGAACUUUGAAAAGAGAGUGAAAAAGUACGUGAAAUUGUUGAAAGGGAAGGGCAUUUGAUCAGACAUGGUGUUUUUUGCAUGCACUCGCCUCUCGUGGGCUUGGGCCUCUCAAAAAUUUCACUGGGCCAACAUCAAUUCUGGCAGCAGGAUAAAUCAUUAAGAAUGUAGCUACUUCGGUAGUGUUAUAGCUUUUUGGAAUACUGUUAGCCGGGAUUGAGGACUGCGCUUCGGCAAGGAUGUUGGCAUAAUGGUUAAAUGCCGCCCGUCU